rnacentral:lncRNA from 1 species
CUGAGCGGCUGCGGCCGUUUCGAGCCCCCCAAGUAGGCUGAGUUGAGGGAUUCCCCCUCCCCAUCCAUCAUAAUCUCCAAAUCAGGCGUUUGGGCAUUUUCAAAUCAUUAAUAUUUAUUAUUAUUUUUGUGUGCGGCAGGGGACAAUUUGAAGGCUUUUUUUUUUUUUUUUCCGGGGGGUACUAAGCUUCCGCGCUCCCGACCGCCUACCGGUCUCCUCCCCCCACCGAGACCCCCUCGACUCCAGCCCCGUCCCCCCUCCUCAGAUGGGUUCAUUGUGAGCUCCGCACCGGGCUGCGUGGCCGGACGCCUGCAAACUUUGCACAAAAAUCCGGCAAGGGGCGGAGGAGGAGAAGGAGGAGGAGGGUGAGGGUGGCGGUGGGGUGGGGGAGGGAGGGAGGGGGCCGCAGGGGCCGGGGGCCGGCGGGGGGGGGGGAGGAGGAGGGGGGCGGCUUUUUUUUUUUUUUUUUUUUUUUUGCAUAACUCGGCUCGACCGAGUGGCCUCCGGACUCCCCGCGCCGCUGGGACCGCCGCUGGGACCGAGAGCCCCGGCUGCCGCAUUGCAACAGGCAGGGCCCCGGCGCGCCCCCCGGGCCUCCCCCCGCCCCGGAGCGGCCUCGGCCGUCCCGGGCCGCCCCCCCCAGGGAGGCCGCCCCGGACCUGCAAUCCGCUCCCCACAGCUGCCGACCCGGCUGCAAAAAAAAAAGUUUCCGAGAGGCAGGAGGAGGAGAAGGGGGAGAAGGGCAGCCCGGAGCGGCGGGGGGCGGCGGGGGGAGCCGGCCGCGGAGGGCGACGGAGCGCCGGGAGCCCCGGACAUGUCCAGGCGGAAGCAGGCGAAGCCGCGCUCGGUGAAAGUUGAAGAGGGGGAGGCCUCGGACUUCUCGCUGGCCUGGGAUUCCUCCGUGACAGCAUCAGGUAAAUGCCCAGGGGCUGGUGGGAGAGGUCGUGGGGGUCCCGGGGGUCUGGCUCAGGAACUCAGAAAGCCACCCAGCUGGUUAUGGAAAUCAUAUUCUUUGUGUCA